CGCCGGGAAACGACGAGUCACCAGGGCCGGAGCGGGGGAACCACAGGUAAGCCGCCCCUGCCCUUUUCCGGGUCGGGGCUCGGGGUGAAGCCGCGUCCGCGCGGCCGGGCCACACUUCUCCGGUCCGAAUCCGACAGCUCACCUCGCAGGCGUCGGAGAGGCCCG
rnacentral:sRNA from 1 species